GAGUAUGGGUGGUUCGGACA
rnacentral:siRNA from 1 species